AAAACAGUAGAGGGAUUCGUUCAUUGGUCGUAAAAUGAAAUCUCCACCUACACGGGGCACCGGGCCAUGCUAAACGAACUCGCUCAGUGCUUGAUUUAUCUGAGAGGGGUGUAACCUAUCCCAUAAACAUACUCACUAGCUCGACGCAUAUUUGGGUUAUCAGCGCGCGCAUGACUUCAGGUUAUCGUGAGGGUGACUACGGCCGGUUUCUUAAUGCAUGGAGGGGAUAAUUUGACCACGAGAACGGUGGGAACCUCAAAACCCCCUCUAACCAGCUGAAGAAGAGCGACAAAGGCGUUCAAUCCGGCCCUGUCCAAACCACAUCUACCGCGAGACCUGAGUCCGAGCCAGCUACCAUUGUACAGCAUCCUAUCAAAGCUAUCAAUUGCUUUUCUCUCAUGCUUUUUCUCUCAGGAGUGGGACACGUGGAGUACGCGUGGAGUACGCAUGGAGAGAGAUCCGUUCCAAAACUUCUCUCAUGUUGCUGGUAUGCUGGUUGGCAAAUGGUCAAGAUAUAAAUGGGUGGUAAAGGUGGGGGCGGCCCAGGUGAGACAUUGAAAUUGGGAUGUUACAUGGGCCAUCCACUUGAACUAUGAAGAUUUCUGAAGAAGGCUAUGAAGAGACGCCAGAAGAUUGAGUGCCUGAAGGGGGGGUUGGUCCACUGUGCCCAGAAUUGAUUUAGGCUUGUCUUUAAUUUGGGGUAUCAAGUUGAUUGUAGAGGUCUACACACUGCUAAAUGUAUAGUCAUUUAGAUUAAGAAUGCAUUGGGAUACUGAUCUGUGAUUAUAACCAUGAUCAGAAAGUGAAUACUAUAAUUAUGGGUAAUUAUACUGUAUGUUAAUAUAAAUUACAUUCUCCCAGUGUCAAUGUGUGCUAAAUUGAGGGUUUUUAACUUAAAGUACUGGGACAAAUGUGAAUCACUGAAGCAUAUUUCAUUUUAAUUUUGGGUUGGAUAAUUAAUUGGGUUUUGAUUAUGAUUUGGAAACUGAAUGAUUUUUAAAAAAAACUGGCAAAUUGAUUUGAGUAUGUUCUUAGUAUGUUGAUAACUGUAUGAGUGAAGCAAUUAAUGUAUUAUGGAUUGAUUGUUUCAAUUGAUGUUAUGCUAAUUGUGACAUGGGUAAAGAAGUUGUGUACUAAAGUUGUUGACACUAUUCUCAGCAUGCCCUGGUGAAUGGAGAGGGUGAACUCUGAUCCUGAGAGUGAAACUGAUCCUAAUCUAUUUGACCUUGUUAGGUUCUUAUUUUCAGAGUAAAUAACUUGACGCUUAACCAAGUUUAAUUCUUCCCAAAGGGUCGCUACAGCUUCAUUCAGUCAUCACAUGUUUCCACCACCACAAGUGUGUGUACGUGUGUGUGUGUGUGUGUAUAUAUAUAUAUAUAUAUACUCCAAUUUAGACACUCCACCUUCUCUCCAAUCCUUACAUAUUUUAUGGUUCGACAGGAAGACGAAGUGAUAGAGUAAUAAACCGUUCUGUCUCCCUUAAGGUGACCUGACCUGACCUCAACCACCUUGAUGUCUAAUCCAAAGCUCUUCACCUGUAUCACCUAUAGCACUCCUGUGACUUCCUCCCGUCCAGCCAGCACAUUCCAAAGCCAUCUGUCUCCUACAGAUAACCAUUAACUCUGAUGUAACAACCACAACCACUAUCACCCCUCAGAUACUAUAGUAUUACUUCUGAUCUAUCAUGUCUCUAGUAUAGCCAUGUUAAAAGUUUACCCAGAAUCCAACAACCUAUAUCUAUUACUAAAAUAAAUGUUUUAUGAUAUUGAUCCAAAUCUUGAGCAGUGCCCAAAUUGAUCUGAUUUGUAAACAUUGUCUUAAGAGGGGUAACUGCAGAUGGUGUUUUAAAGGGAAGACGUGGUCCCAGAGUCAAUGGUCAUUUCCUACAUAUUAUUUGAUGUGAAGAAGACUGUGCUGAUGGCAGAAAAAGGGAUUAAACUCAGUAACCCAAAGGAGGUUAUUUACCAUGUAUGGCAGUGCCUAACACCAGAAGGGGUUUUUAUCUUUUAUUCUUUUCAUUUUAUUGUUAAUUUUUGUUUUUUUUUAACGCUGGAAGGGUUUAACUGAAGGUUUUAUAAGAAACUUGUUUUUUUAAGGGGGGAAUGUGAGGGCAUUUUGAAGUUAAACCUUACUAAUGCUUGUGUACUAAAACAUGUCUUUAAGCCUAGGCAUUGGGUUUGAGUUAGUUUAUAUGACAAACUCAUAUAGGAUAGGAAAGUGUGUGUGCGCAUUAAAAGAGGCCUGUUCUGAUUGUUUGUGUGUGUAGAAUGACCCCAUGAUGUCCAGGCGCUCAGCCAAAGACAGAAAUGAACUGGUUCCUCUUAGCUUAACUGGAGACAGGGCAAAGUGUUAUAUUCUGCACACCAGUGAUAGAGCUGUUGUUCUGUUUGUUUGGAGCCUGUUUCUGGGGGAAAGAUUCAUGUUUUGUGUGUGUGUGUGUGUGUGUGUGUGUGAGACGAGUAUGGCCAUACAUCAUCUGGGCGGAAAGUAAAAGGCGCUUGCUUGCCCAACUUGGGGGAUCCGUUGAGCAACUGUUAGAGGAAGUAUGUCUGGAGUGACUUCCUGUCAUUCUGGCCCCUGUUGUCCUCACUCAGUUGCGACAGACUGAGGCAACCUUUUCACCCAGUUAUCUCCCCUCACACACACAUACAUACAUAGGGUCACAUGUUUUGCAGAUGCUUGCAUGGGGUAGCUUGACUAUAUAAAAGCUCCUGUAAUCUUUGUACAGGAGGCUCUCACUCCUUCUCACCUGCGUGGCUGGGGCGACCAGCCACCUUAUUAUAAUACAUUUUUAAUAAAAGUAAUACCUUGA